AACUUUUGGCAAUGGAUCUCUUGGCUUUCGCAGCGAUGAAGAACGCCGCGAAAGUGCGAAACGUAAUGUGAAUUGCAGAAUUCAGUGAAUCAUCGAAUCUUUGAACGCAUCUUGCGCUCCUUGGUAUUCCGAGGAUCAUGCCUGUUUGAGUGUCGUGUAUCCUCUCAACACCUCCCUUUUUUAGGGCUCUCGUGUUGGUUUUUGUCGUUUGCCGUUGGUUUCGACCUUAAGGCUCGUCUUGAAAUGCAUCAGCUGGUCGGCGGCGCGAUUUUGGUAUUAAACAACGGUGUGAUAAGAACCGCUUCGUGACUGUAGCGCCGUUUCGCCGACUCCGUUGGAGGGACUGCUUCCAACCGUCUUAGGACAAACCUUUCACUUCAUCUGACCUCAAAUCAGGUAGGACUACCCGCUGAACUUAAGCAUAUCAAUAAGCGGAGGCU
rnacentral:misc_RNA from 1 species